AUUGAACGCUGGCGGCAGGCCUAACACAUGCAAGUCGAGCGGAUGAAGGGAGCUUGCUCCUGGAUUCAGCGGCGGACGGGUGAGUAAUGCCUAGGAAUCUGCCUGGUAGUGGGGGAUAACGUCCGGAAACGGGCGCUAAUACCGCAUACGUCCUGAGGGAGAAAGCGGGGGAUCUUCGGACCUCACGCUAUCAGAUGAGCCUAGGUCGGAUUAGCUAGUUGGUGGGGUAAAGGCCUACCAAGGCGACGAUCCGUAACUGGUCUGAGAGGAUGAUCAGUCACACUGGAACUGAGACACGGUCCAGACUCCUACGGGAGGCAGCAGUGGGGAAUAUUGGACAAUGGGCGAAAGCCUGAUCCAGCCAUGCCGCGUGUGUGGAGAAGGUCUUCGGAUUGUAAAGCACUUUAAGUUGGGAGGAAGGGCAGUAAGUUAAUACCUUGCUGUUUUGACGUUACCAACAGAAUAAGCACCGGCUAACUUCGUG
rnacentral:rRNA from 1 species